GAUGAACGCUGGCGGCGUGCCUAAUACAUGCAAGUCGAGCGAACGGACGAUAAGCUUGCUUCUCUGAUGUUAGCGGCGGACGGGUGAGUAACACGUGUAUAACCUACCUAUAAGACUGGGAUAACUUCGGGAAACCGGAGCUAAUACCGGAUAAUAUUUUGAACCGCAUGGUUCAAAAGUGAAAGACGGUCUUGCUGUCACUUAUAGAUGGAUCCGCGCUGCAUUAGCUAGUUGGUAAGGUAACGGCUUACCAAGGCAACGAUGCAUAGCCGACCUGAGAGGGUGAUCGGCGACACUGGAACUGAGACACGGUCCAGACUCCUACGGGAGGCAGCAGUAGGGAAUCUUCGGCAAUGGGCGAAAGCCUGACGGAGCAACGCCGCGUGAGUGAUGAAGGUCUUCGGAUCGUAAAACUCUGUUAUUAGGGAAGAACCUAUGUGUAAGUAAAUGUGCACAUCUUGACGGUACCUAAUCAGAAAGCAACGGCUAACUACGUG
rnacentral:rRNA from 1 species